GUGGGGAAUCUUGCGCAAUGGGCGAAAGCCUGACGCAGCCAUGCCGCGUGAAUGAUGAAGGUCUUAGGAUUGUAAAAUUCUUUCACCGGGGGCGAUAAUGACGGUACCCGGAGAAGAAGCUCCGGCUAACUCCGUGCCAGCAGCCGCGGUAAUACGAAGGGGGCUAGCGUUGUUCGGAAUCACUGGGCGUAAAGCGCACGUAGGCGGACCAUUAAGUCAGGGGUGAAAGCCUGGAGCUCAACUCCAGAACUGCCUUUGAUACUGAUGGUCUCGAGUAUGGAAGAGGUGGGUGGAACUGCGAGUGUAGAGGUGAAAUUCGUAGAUAUUCGCAAGAACACCGGUGGCGAAGGCGGCCAACUGGUCCAUUACUGACGCUGAGGUGCGAAAGCGUGGGGAGCAAACAGGAUUAGAAACCCGGGUAGUCC
rnacentral:rRNA from 1 species